rnacentral:rRNA from 1 species
CAUACCUAUUCGAAGGGAUAGGGUCGGUUUGGCCGGAUUUCACACAGGUGUUGCAUGGCUGUCGUCAGCUCGCGUCGUGAGAUGUUGGGUUAAGUCCCGCAACGAGCGCAACCCUCAUCCUUAGUUACCAUCAGGUUAUGCUGGGGACUUUAAGGAAACUGCCAGUGAUAAACUGGAGGAAGGUGGGGAUGAUGUCAAGUCAUCAUGGCCCUUAUGGAGUGGGCUACACACGUGCUACAAUGGUGAUUACAAUGGGCUGCAAGGUCGCAAGGCUGAGCUAAUCCUAAAAAAUCAUCUCAGUUCGGAUUGUUCUCUGCAACUCGAGAGCAUGAAGUUGGAAUCGCUAGUAAUCGUGGAUCAGCAUGCCACGGUGAAUACGUUCUCGGGUCUUGUACACACUGCCCGUCACGCCAUGGGAAUUGGUUUCACUCGAAGCU